CUCCUCACUCCGGCAGCACGUACACUAAAAUUGCAACGACACAGAGAAGAUCAGUGUGGCCUCUGUGCAAGGAGGACACACAAAUUCGGGAGGCGUUCCACAGUUUU
ensembl:snRNA U6 U6 spliceosomal RNA